CAGCAGAGCCUGACGUGCAGGAUGAGAACCUGCGCAGGUUCGACUGAAUCGCCAGAGGCGAUUCAGGCUGAUGCGAAGCAUCACCCGCAAGGGCGAGGCCCAUAGGGCCGAGGCAAAUCCUGCACGACCCACCA
rnacentral:sRNA from 1 species